UAUUAAUGUAAAUUUUUUUAUUAAUUAGUAUUAGUUAAGUUCUUGAAAAUUAAAAGUUUUGGCGGUAUUUUAGUCUAUUCAGAGGAAUCUGUUCUAUAAUUGAUAGUCCACGAUUAAUUAUACUUUAUUUAUUAAUUUAUAUAUCGUUGUUUUUAAAUAUUUUAUAAGAAUAUAAAUUUUUAAAAAAUUAAAUUAAAUUAUAAUUCAAAUCAAGGUGUAGUUUAUAAUAAAGGAGAAAUGGAUUACAAUAUAUUUAUAUAUUAUGGAUAAUUAUAUGAAAAAUUAAUUUGAAGGUGGAUUUGAAAGUAAAAUAAAUAAUUUUAUUUUUUUGAUUUAAGCUCUAAAAUAUGU
rnacentral:rRNA from 1 species